rnacentral:rRNA from 1 species
AUUGAACGCUGGCGGCAGGCUUAACACAUGCAAGUCGAACGAGUGGCGGACGGGUGAGUAAUGUUUGGGAAUCUGGCUUAUGGAGGGGGAUAACUACGGGAAACUGUAGCUAAUACCGCGUACAAUAGGAUGCGCCCAAGUGGGAUUAGGUAGUUGGUGAGGUAAAGGCUCACCAAGACGACGAUCCCUAGCUGGUCUGAGAGGAUGACCAGCCAAACUGGGAAUGAGACACGGGCCAGACUCCGACGGGAGGCAGCAGGGGGGAAUAUUGCGCAAUGGGGGCAACCUGACGCAGCCAUGCCGCGGGAAUGAAGAAGGCCUUCGGGUUGUAAAGUUCUUUCGGUAGCGAGGCGUUAACUACAGAAGAAGCACCGGCUAACUCCGUGCCAGCAGCCGCGGUAAUAC